rfam:Arthrobacter sp. 7749 genome.
GGGGAUGAUCGGUUUCGACGGUGUGAGUCGCGACAUGUGAAGCGGGCCGAGGAUGCAAAGUUAUCUCGUUAACGCUCUUUGCAAAACAAUAAGUGCCGACUCAAAGCGCACUGACUUCGCUCUCGCUGCCUAAGCAGCCAGACCAGUCCGUUAGCCAGGGGAUGCUAUCGCCCCUGAUCCUAACGUCAUUUAGAUAGCCACUGCGGGAAGUUAGUGUUACCGGAACGACCUGCAAAAUUUAGGUAACUGUGCCCGGACCAGCCGCUUGUUUGCAUGACGGCUGGGGCAGAGAAAAUCCAACGCAGACUGCGCCCGGAGAAGACCUGGCAACACCACAUCGGACGGGAGUUCAAUUCUCCCCAUCUCCACAU